rnacentral:rRNA from 1 species
GACGGAGGAUGCAAGUGUUAUCCGGAAUCACUGGGCGUAAAGCGUCUGUAGGUUGUCAAAUAAGUCAACUGUUAAAUCUUGAGGCUCAACUUCAAAAUCGCAGUCGAAACUAUUAGACUAGAGUAUAGUAGGGGUAAAGGGAAUUUCCAGUGGAGCGGUGAAAUGCGUUGAGAUCGGAAGGAACGCCCGUGGCGAAAGCGAGUUCCUGGACGUCGGCUGACGCUGAGACGCGAAAGCCAGGGGAGCGAACGGG